rnacentral:rRNA from 1 species
CCUACGGGAGGCAGCAGUGGGGGAUAUUGCACAAUGGGGGGAACCCUGAUGCAGCGACGCCGCGUGGGUGAAGAAGCGCCUCGGCGCGUAAAGCCCUGUCAGCAGGGAAGAAAAUGACGGUACCUGAAGAAGACGCCCCGGCUAACUACGUGCCAGCAGCCGCGGUAAUACGUAGGGGGCAAGCGUUAUCCGGAUUUACUGGGUGUAACGGGGGCGCAGACGGCGAUGCAAGCCAGGAGUGAAAGCCCGGGGUCCAACCCCGGGACUGCUCUUGGAACUGCGUGGCUGGAGUGCAGGAGGGGCAGGCGGAAUUCCUGGUGUAGCGGUGAAAUGCGUAGAUAUCAGGAGGAACACCGGUGGCGAAGGCGGCCUGCUGGACUGCAACUGACGUUGAGGCCCGAAAGCGUGGGGAGCAAACAGGAUUAGAUACCCGGGUAGUC